GACGAACGCUGGCGGCGUGCUUAACACAUGCAAGUCGAACGGAAAGGCCCUGCUUUUGUGGUGUGCUCGAGUGGCGAACGGGUGAGUAACACGUGAGUAACCUGCCCUUCACUUUGGGAUAACUUCAGGAAACUGGGGUUAAUACCGGAUAGGAGCCCCUGUUGCAUGGUGGGCGUUGGAAAGUCUCGGCGGUCGGGGAUGGAUGCGCGGGUUAUCAGCUUGUUGGUGGGGUAGUGGCUUACCAAGGCUUUGACGGGUAGGCGGCAUGAGAGGGUGACCGGGCACAUGAGGACUGAGAUACGGCGCAGACUGCUACGGGAGACAGCGGUGGGGAAUAUGGCACAGUGGGCGGGAGCCUGAUGCGGAAACCUUGCGUGCGGGAUGCCGGCCUUCGGGUUGUGAACCGCUUUCGCCUGUGACGCAGCGUUAGUGACGGUAAUGGGUAAAGAAGCACCGGCUAACUACGUG
rnacentral:rRNA from 1 species